UCCGUGAAGAUGCGGAGUACCCGCGGUUAGACGGAAAGACCCCGUGCACCUUUACUGCAGCUUCAGAGUGGCAUUAGGAAGGAACUGUGUAGAAUAGGUGGGAGGCUUUGAAGCAUUGGCGCCAGCUGAUGUGGAGCCACAAUGUGAAAUACCACCCUGUUGUUUUCUGAUGUCUAACCUCGAACCAUGAAACUGGUUCAGGGACCCUCUGUGGCGGGUAGUUUGACUGGGGCGGUCGCCUCCUAAAGAGUAACGGAGGCGCGCGAAGGUUGGCUCAGG
rnacentral:rRNA from 1 species